UCUCCACUCUCGUCGGGACACCGCCGGCCACUGCCAUUGUCCGGUAGCCACUGGAACUUUUCAAAACCAAUUGCCAUUGCUGGAUUCCUCGACGUCAUCCACCACCAUGCCAAUUUUCUCUACAAAUUUUCAUUUCUACUUUCCACUUCCACUUCCGAUCUCUCUUUUUUCUCUUUUCUUCUUCUUAUGGCGUCCUUUUUUUCUUCCACUUUCCUUAUCUUCGUUACAAUUUUCGCCGCGUUCUCCACUUCUCGGUCUUCGACGAUCGGAGUCGAAUAUAUUUCGCGGCUUCUUGAGAUUCAGGAUCGCGAGAGAGUGCCUGCGUAUGUCCAAGUUGCUGCAGCUCGUGGAGUUCUUCGUCGGCUUCUUCCUUCUCAUCUCCCUAGCUUUGACUUUCAGAUUGUUUCUAAGGACAAAUGUGGUGGAGAAUCUUGCUUCGUGAUCAGGAACCAUCGUGCGUUCAGGAAAUCCGGGGAUCCUGAGAUUUUAAUCGCUGGGGUCACUGGAGUGGAGAUUUUAGCUGGCUUGCACUGGUAUCUUAAGCACUGGUGUGGUGCACACAUAUCUUGGGAUAAAACAGGUGGCUCACAACUGUUUUCUGUACCUAAGGCAGGCCUGUUACCUCGUAUUCAAACAAACGAGGUUGUGGUUCAGAGGCCUAUUCCUUUGAACUACUAUCAAAAUGCAGUUACAUCAAGCUACUCUUUUGCCUGGUGGGACUGGAAAAGGUGGGAAAAGGAAAUAGACUGGAUGGCUCUUCAGGGUAUCAAUAUGCCUCUAGCAUUUACUGGGCAGGAGGCUAUUUGGCGAAAAGUAUUUCGGAAAUUUAAUAUAAGCAACUCAGAUUUGGAUGAUUUCUUUGGAGGUCCUGCUUUUCUUGCAUGGUCACGUAUGGGAAAUUUGCACAAAUGGGGUGGGCCACUGCCGCAAAGUUGGUUUGAUCAACAACUUAUUCUGCAGAAAAAGGUUAUUGGCAGAAUGUUUGAGCUGGGAAUGACUCCAGUUUUGCCAGCCUUUUCGGGUAAUAUUCCUGCUGCUUUCAAACAAAUAUAUCCAGCAGCAAAAAUAACACGCUUGGGAAAUUGGUUUACUGUUCAUAGUGACCCUAGAUGGUGCUGCACUUACCUUCUUGACGCCAUGGACCCUUUAUUUGUCGAGAUUGGUAAAGCAUUUAUUGAGCAACAACAGAAAGAAUAUGGAAGAACAUCCCAUGUAUACAAUUGUGAUACCUUUGACGAGAACACUCCACCUGUUGAUGAUGUGGAAUACAUCUCUUCAUUAGGUUCAGCUAUUUUUGGAGGAAUGCAGGCAGGAGAUUCUAAUGCUGUCUGGCUAAUGCAGGGGUGGAUGUUUUCAUAUGAUCCAUUCUGGAGGCCUCAACAAAUGAAGGCCCUUUUACAUUCUGUCCCUCUGGGAAGGCUGGUAGUUCUUGAUCUGUAUGCUGAAGUGAAGCCUAUCUGGAUAUCCUCUGAGCAAUUUUAUGGCAUUCCUUACAUCUGGUGCAUGCUACAUAAUUUUGCUGGAAAUGUUGAGAUGUAUGGCAUUUUAGAUUCAAUAGCAUCUGGACCAAUUGAAGCUCGUAGUAGUCCAUACUCGACAAUGGUCGGUGUAGGAAUGUCCAUGGAAGGAAUUGAACAGAAUCCUGUUGUCUACGAUCUUAUGUCUGAAAUGGCUUUUCAACACAACAAAGUUGAUGUCAAGAAAUGGCUUCCUCAGUAUUCAGUCAGGCGUUAUGGUCAUUUAGUCCCUUCAAUACAAGAUGCCUGGGAUGUAUUAUAUCACACCGUCUACAACUGCACUGACGGUGCCAAUGACAAAAACAGGGAUGUAAUUGUGGCAUUUCCUGAUGUUGAUCCAUCGGCAAUCUUAGUAUUACCCGAGGGGUCCAACCGACAUGGGAACUUGGACUCAAGCGUGGAUCGCCUCCAGGAUGCAACGUUUGAUCGACCUCAUCUUUGGUAUCCUACUUCUGAAGUAAUUAGUGCACUCAAGCUUUUCAUUGCUGGUGGCGAUCAACUCUCUAGUAGCAACACUUACAGGUAUGACCUUGUAGAUUUGACCAGGCAAGCUCUAGCCAAAUACUCGAAUGAACUGUUCUUUAGAAUUGUCAAGGCAUAUCAGUUACAUGAUGUACAGACAAUGGCCAGCUUAAGCCAAGAGUUCCUUGAACUUGUCAAUGAUAUUGACACAUUAUUGGCUUGUCACGAGGGAUUUCUUUUGGGACCUUGGCUACAAAGCGCCAAACAACUCGCCCGAAGUGAAGAGGAGGAAAAACAGUAUGAAUGGAAUGCAAGAACUCAAAUAACCAUGUGGUUUGACAACACAGAGGAAGAAGCAAGUUUGCUUCGUGAUUAUGGAAACAAGUACUGGAGUGGACUCUUGGGCGAUUAUUACUGUCCUCGAGCUGCAAUAUACUUGAAGUUCUUGAAAGAAAGUUCGGAGAAUGGAUACAGAUUUCCAUUGAGUAAUUGGAGGAGAGAGUGGAUAAAACUAACAAAUGAUUGGCAAAGCAGCAGAAAGAUUUACCCUGUGGAAAGCAAUGGAGAUGCACUUGACACAUCCCACUGGCUAUACAACAAGUACUUGCAAAUACCUGAGAGCUCUGACCAAUGAAUCAGGUUUACAACCUCCUUUUCCUUCUACACAAAUGGCCAACGACACAAUUUAUCUCCCGGGAAGAUGACAGCAUCUAAAAUCCUUUUUCUAAAGGGAAAACGAAGACUAAAGUUAAAAUUCUGAAGGUUGAAAAGUCAAACUUUGCCAUCCAAACUGUGGCUUUUUGGCCUGUACUUGCUUGACUAGUAACUACUAUUAUAUUUAAACAUCCAACUGUUGUUUUCCUUUUUGCAUAAUUAUAAUUGUAUGCAAUAUUUUUUCAAUUUGUUCCUUGUUCAAGGCGUUGAUUUGAAAAGAUUAAAUUAAAAUGUAUGAUAGAUAGAUAGAUCAUCACUUUGUUUCCAAGAAAUAGCCAAAUAAAACCUCAUUAUAUUUGGCGUAGGCGGUGACCGAUACUUUGGUAAGGUUUGGCCGUCGUUAGUUAUUGACUUUAUAUGCUUUGGAACC